rnacentral:lncRNA from 1 species
GCGACUGCGUACCUGCGCAAAGCUGGAAGCGGACGCUUUUUUCUUCUUACUGGCGCCAUAGCCCCCGCCGCUGCUGCCAUUGUGGGAAGGGCUGGCCGGCCUCUUCUUGCUGUUCCGGACUAUUCCGGGAGUGGAAGUGGUGGCCACAAUUGGAAUUUGCGCCGCCAUCGCACUCCGAGUCUUCCCCUGGUCCCCCCACCUUUUUCCCAGCGCGGGCCUUGGAACUUCCUUUCCGCUGUUACUUCCGUCUUGAUGCUUGAAAACCCGGCCUGGACUCCAAGCUGUAGCUGGCUUCUCUCGGUGCAAUCUAAAAGGCGGAGCUCGGAGUAGCCUGUGCCGUCGGGACGGGAAGAUGUCAGCGGGCGUUGUCCUGCCACUCGGGCGCUC